rnacentral:rRNA from 1 species
UACGUAGGGGGCAAGCGUUGUCCGGAAUUAUUGGGCGUAAAGCGCGUGUAGGCGGUUUGAUAAGUCUGGUGUGAAAGUCCAAGGCUCAACCUUGGGAUGCCGGUGGAUACUGUCGAGCUCGAGUCCGGAAGAGGAGUGUGGAAUUCCUGGUGUAGCGGUGAAAUGCGCAGAUAUCAGGAGGAACACCAAUGGCGAAAGCAGCACUCUGGGACGUUACUGACGCUGAGACGCGAAAGCGUGGGGAGCAAACAGG